rnacentral:tRNA from 1 species
UGGAAUGUGGCUCAGAGGUAGAGUGCUUGCUUUGCAUGCAUGAGGCCCUGAGUUCAAUUCCUCAGCACCAC